rnacentral:rRNA from 1 species
GAUGAACGCUGGCGGCGUGCUUAACACAUGCAAGUCGAACGGUGAAGGCGGAGCUUGCUCUGCUGGAUCAGUGGCGAACGGGUGAGCUACACGUGAGCAAUCUGCCACUGACUCUGGGAUAAGCUCUGGAAACGGAGUCUAAUACUGGAUACGAGCUGCGACGGCAUGUUCAGCAGCUGGUAAGAAUUGCGGUCAGGGAUGAGGACGCGGCCUAUCAGCUUGUUGGUGAGGUAAUGGCUAAGCAAGGCGUCGACGGGUAGCCGGCCUGAGGGGGAGACCAGGCACAGUGGGACUGGGACACGGACCAGACUCAUACUGGAGGCAGCAGUGGGAGAUAUUGCACAAUGGGCGAGAGCCUGAUGCUGCAACGCCGCUUGCGGGACAACGGCCCUCGGGUUGUAAACCUCUUUUAGCUGGGAAGGAGCGAAAGUGACGGUACCUGCAGGAAAAGCGCCGGCUAACUACGUG